AGAGUUUGAUCAUGGCUCAGAUUGAACGCUGGCGGUAGGCUUAACACAUGCAAGUCGUGCGAGAAAGUAUCUUCGGAUAUGAGUAGAGCGGCGGACGGGUGAGUAACGCGUAGGAAUCUACCUAGUAGAAGGGGAUAGCCCGGGGAAACUCGGAUUAAUACCGUAUACCUCCUUCGGGAGAAAGAAGGCCUCUCUUUGAAGCUUUCGCUAUUAGAUGAGCCUGCGUAAGAUUAGCUUGUUGGUGAGGUAAAGGCUCACCAAGGCGACGAUCUUUAGCGGGUCUGAGAGGACGAUCCGCCACAUUGGGACUGAGACACGGCCCAGACUCCUACGGGAGGCAGCAGUGGGGAAUAUUGGACAAUGGGCGCAAGCCUGAUCCAGCCAUACCGCGUGUGUGAAGAAGGCCCUAGGGUUGUAAAGCACUUUAAGUUGGGAAGAAAAGUUAUUGGUUAAUACCCACUAACCGUGACAUUACCAUCAGAAUAAGGACCGGCUAAUUCCGUGCCAGCAGCCGCGGUAAUACGGAAGGUCCAAGCGUUAAUCGGAAUUACUGGGCGUAAAGCGCGCGUAGGUGGUUUAUUAAGUUGGAUGUGAAAUCCCCGGGCUCAACCUGGGAACUGCAUCCAAAACUGAUUCACUAGAGUACGAUAGAGGGAGGUAGAAUUCACAGUGUAGCGGUGGAAUGCGUAGAUAUUGUGAAGAAUACCAAUGGCGAAGGCAGCCUCCUGGAUCUGUACUGACACUGAGGUGCGAAAGCGUGGGUAGCGAACAGGAUUAGAUACCCUGGUAGUCCACGCCGUAAACGAUGUCAACUAGCUGUUGGAGAACUAUGUUCUUCAGUGGCGCAGCUAACGUAGUAAGUUGACCGCCUGGGGAGUACGGCCGCAAGGCUAAAACUCAAAUGAAUUGACGGGGACCCGCACAAGCGGUGGAGCAUGUGGUUUAAUUCGAUGCAACGCGAAAAACCUUACCUAUACUUGACAUACUUGGAAUGCUUUGUAAUGAAGCAGUGCCUUCGGGAGCCAAGAUACAGGUGCUGCAUGGCUGUCGUCAGCUCGUGUCGUGAGAUGUUCCGUUAAGUCGGAUAACGAGCGCAACCCUUACCCUUAUUUGCCAGCGAUUCGGUCGGGAACUAUAAGGGGACUGCCGGUGAUAAACCGGAGGAAGGUGAGGACGACGUCAAGUCAUCAUGGCCCUUACGUAUAGGGCUACACACGUGCUACAAUGGAGAAUACAGACGGACGCUAAGCCGCGAGGUGGUGCUAAUCCUAGAAAAUUCUUCGUAGUCCGGAUUGGAGUCUGCAACUCGACUCCAUGAAGUCGGAAUCGCUAGUAAUCGCGAAUCAGCAUGUCGCGGUGAAUACGUUCUCGGGUCUUGUACACACCGCCCGUCAUACCAUGGAAGUGGAUUGCACCAGAAGUAGAUAGUCUAACCUUCGGGAGGGCGUUUACCACGGUGUGCUUCAUGACUGGGGUAAAGUCGUAACAAGGUA
rnacentral:rRNA from 1 species